CGCAUCCUCAUUGUGGGAAAGUCUCGGGGGGUAUGAUGGCAGAGGAAAUGCAGGAGCUGAGAGAGUUAGUCACUCAGCUUAGGAUGGAGAAUAAGAGGUCGAAGCAGGAACAGGCUGAGGCAGUACCUGGCCCGAGUGUAGAACCCUCAUCUCAAUUGUCCUCGAGUGGUAAUGCUCCAGUAAUGGAGAAGUUUAUUUUUUUACCCCGAGAUAGAAAAUGUCCCAUGUUUAAUGGUAAGACAGGUAUGGGGUUGGCUGAAUGGUUGGAGGAGAUGCAAGCUUGUGUGAGAGCCUGUCAUGUCUCUGAAGCUGACCAGGCAUUUUUUUAUUUUGAUCAUCUGGAGGGGGAAGCACGUAAGGAAAUAAAGCAUCGUUCCAGUGAAGAGCGCUCAGACCCAUUAAAGAUCAAUGGGGUGUUGCAGGAGCUGUAUGGGGAUGCAGAAUCUUAUGUGGCGCUUCAAGAGGCCUUUUUCUCCCGCAGACAGCGUGAGGGAGAGACUCUGUUAGGGUUUUCAUUGGCAUUAAUGAAUCUGAUGACAAAUGUUAAGCAGCGCACACCUAUGGUGUCCCAAAUGCAGAGGUUUUGUUAUGUGGUCAGUUUGUUGAGGGUGUGUUUGAUGGGUCACUUUGGCGUGAGUUGAAGCAGUUUGUGACUGUAAAAUGACACAGACGACGUAGCUCUACAUAUGUUUCAAAUAGAUCUAAUGGAAAACAUUCAAACAUAGAAUUUAUUUAGGCUGCAGACCGAUAUACGGAGCCUGCCUGGGGACAUGACGGUAAUUUUUUUUUUUUUGGCCCAGAUUCUUGCGUUCCCGCGAAAUAUAGCGCCUCGUAAUAGUUUUUGUGUUCCCUCGCAAUAUCCUUAUAUUACAGCUCAUGUCUAUCAGAGCCCACAGAGAGUGAAAUCAGGUGCGGGGUGAGACGGAACGCAAUGCGCGCGCAGACAUCAACAAGAUUCACAAGAGGAUGGUAAAAAAAAAAAAGCAUAAAUGUUCAUAAGGCACUAACAGGUGUUGCUGUAAGUUUCUUGCAUACAUCUAUUUUUUUAAUAUCAUGAAACUGCCAAAUUAAUGUGGUUAAUGGUGCCGUUUUCGUGAUCGGCUUAUGACUGUAAUGUCGCGCCACUGACUGUAAAAUGACAGACUACAUAGCUCUGCAUAUGUUUAAAAUAGAUCUAAUGGAAAACAUUCAAACAUAAAAUUUAUUUAAGCUGCAGACCGAUAUAUGGAGCCUGCCUGGGGACAUGACGGUAAUUUUUUGGGGGGGCCCAGAUUAUUUAUUGUGUUUGCGCGCAAUAUAGCGUUCCCCCGCAAUAUUAUUGCGUUCCCUCGCAAUAGUUUUUGUGUUCCCUCGCAAUAACCUUAUCAUAUUACAGCUCAUGUCUAUCAGAGCCCACAGAGAGUGAAAUCAGGUGCGGCGUGAGACGGAACGCAGUGCGCGCGCAGACAACAGGAUUCACGAGAGGACGGUAAAAAAAUGAAAGCAUAAACGUUCAUAAGGCACUAACAGGUGUUGCUACUUACUACCACUGUUGUAUAAAUAAACUAUAUUUCAUACGGAGCCUUAGAGCUGUGCAAGUUGUAGCAACUUACACAGCUCAUCUCUCGUGAAUCCUGUCGCUGUCUGCUGCAUGUGUGUGCACGCAUAUGCGUUCAGUCCCCCACCACCUGAUCCCACUCACUGUGUGCUCUGAUAGGCAUAUGAUAUUGGGUUAUUGCGAGGGAACGCAAGAAUCUGGUCCCAAAAAAAUAAAAAUAAAUAACCAUGUCCACAGGCAGGCUCUGUACCUAUAGUGUUGAGAUUUCUGAUUAACAAACUCAUACUUUGCAGGUCAACCACCAACUGCCCCAGACAGGCAAACCAGCCAAGCCUUGGGAGCCAACAAAGAAUAGCAGAAUUUGUUCAGAACAUUUCCUUGGUGGAGCACCUUCAACGAAGUACCCAGAUCCAUGCUUGAAUCUAGGUUAUCAUAAUAUUCGCAGUCUAAGCAGCUCUAAGAAGCGAAAAGCACCCACAGUCAGAACAACUCCAACCCCAGCACCUCAAAGCAAGCGGCUGCAUUCUGAAGACCUUGAAUCGACACUCUGGAAAAUCCAGCAAGAGCCAGAGAACUUGUUUUUCAUGGAUCACAACUACACGCAGCCAGAGACUAAACCUGCGUCUGGGUCUGAACGUGAUCCUGAGUGCACGCCCAAGUGUGAAUCAGUGCGUGAGCCUAAACAUGGGGUUGAGUCUGCCAUGGACAAUGCAUGUCAAGCAUGUGCCAUGAAACAAAUUGAAAUUGAUCAACUAGCUGCUAAGGUUAAAGUCUUGACAAUUAAGUCUAAGCAAAAAUACGACAGAUGUGAUAGUUUGAUAAACACGGAUUCUAAAGUACGGCGACACACUGGGCUGGAAACUUGUGAUGUGUUCAAUACAAUGUUGGAAUUUUUGACACCCAAAGCUAGUCGUAUGGGUUAUUGGGAGGGCCCGCAAAGAGUUCUUGCAAGUAAGAUUAGGAGAUACAAGAAAACCCCAACAAAAUCAGGACCAAAAAGGAAAUUGUCUGUUAAAGAAGAGUUUCUCAUGGUGCUUAUGAAGUUGAGGGUGGGUCUAAAAAAUAAGUUGCUAGCUGCCAUUUUUAACACAACAGAUUCCACUUGUUCUCGAGUGAUACACACAUGGGUUAGGUUCCUGGCACGAGUUGAAGAAUCUCGUAUUCUGGCCUGAAAAAGAACACAUCAAACAGAUGAUGCCAGCAGCCCUUGCACAUGCAUACCCCAACCUGCGAUGCAUAAUAGACUGCAGCGAAACCUUCCUCGAGAGACCAUGUGACCUUAAACUCCAGUCUGCAACUUGGUCUGAUUACAAGCACAGUAACACUUUGAAAUACCUAGUAGCCAUAGCCCCUACUGGGCAUAUUUCAUUCAUUUCACGGGCAUGGGGAGGGAGAACUACAGAUAGAUUCAUAGUUCAAAAUUCUAAAUUUCUGGACCUGAUUGAACCGUAUGAUGUGGUCAUGGCUGAUUGUGGUUUUCCUUUAUAGUAAGACUUGCUAUUCAGGAGGGCUUCUCUUGUAAUACCACCAUCCAGUUCUGGAAAAGAUCAGAUGUGCAAAACAAAUGUGGCAAAAAACAAAAAAAAAUAGCCAACACACGCAUACAUGUUGAACGGGCCAUCAAUCGAUUAAAGUGGUUUAAAAUCAUCAGCAGAAAACUCCAUCACUAUGGCAUAUCUGUUUGAUGACAUACUGCUCAUCUGUGCAGCUCUGUGUAACCUUCUCCCUCCUUUAGUUGUCUGAAUGAAAACUCUUAUUUCACAAUGUGUUAAGCUAAUUAAUAUUUUUUUAAAUUUUUUGUUCCAUAGUCCAGGCUGUACUGUCCUCUGAAAAGCCAUACAAUGAUUAUUUAAAAGGGGACUAUUACAUUAGGCCACACUCUUUCAUUUUCUACCUCACAGGCCAAUUUGUAACUGCA